GACGUAGGGCGCGAGCGUUGUCCGGAUUUAUUGGGCGUAAAGAGCUCGUAGGCGGCUUGUCGCGUCGUCUGUGAAAUCCCGCGGCUCAACCGCGGGUCUGCAGUCGAUACGGGCAGGCUAGAGUUCGGUAGGGGGAGACUGGAAUUCCUGGUGUAGCGGUGAAAUGCGCAGAUAUCCGGAGGAACACCGGUGGCGAAGGCGGCUUCCUGGACCGACACUGACGCUGAGGCGCGAAAGCGUAGGGGAGCAAAAGCGGG
rnacentral:rRNA from 1 species